rnacentral:ncRNA from 1 species
AUAACUGCGAUGAUAGGGAAGAGUACAUUUAGAUGCUUUCAUAGAGAGUUGGGAUGGUGGAAGCCCGGCAAAGUGUCUAUUUGGAAGGCAGCCCUGGAGUUUCUCCUUGAGAAAUGUGAGUUUCCGUGACAUUUAUUUGAUUUGGGAGCUCUGAUAUUAGAGGAAGACGUAGCCUCACGUUAUAGAGGAACGGUCUUUAUGGCAGUAUAUGUCCAAUAUACUGUUAUAAGAACUGGCAGAGUGAGUACCUUUUAGGUACUAAUUAGGGUGGUAACGCGGAAUACUCCUUCGUCCCUUGU